rnacentral:misc_RNA from 1 species
UUUUUAAUUUUAUUUUUUUUAUUUAUUGUUGUUUGAUAAUAGCUACCUUGUAAGAUGCCUUUUCACUGAAAAUGGGCAACUUCUUGCUCUCCAAAUACCUCUCCAAAUAUUAAUGUUAUUUAAAAUGGAAUAGUACACAACUACCUUCCAUGCUAAAGUCCGUAACGCAACAUGCAUCUCUGGAAUUGAUAGUAUUUUUUUUUCCAGAGAAAGUACAAAUUAGAUUGCUUAAUGGAGGGGGCAGGGCACUCUUCUAUGAUCGUGAAGCCCCCAUCUGCAC